rnacentral:tRNA from 1 species
UCCAGGGUAGCCUAGUGGACAUGGCAUCUGCCCAGUAAGCGGAACACUGUGGGUUCGGUUCCCAUCCCUGGAC